UACGAGAUACUACCGAGUGACUGGAGUUCAGACGUGUGCUCUUCCGAUCUUUAGUCGGGACCUAAGGCGAACCCGAAAGGGACAGUCGAUGGCCAACGGGUUAAUAUUCCCGUACUACUUAUUACUGUGAUGGGGUGACGGAGUGAUGAAAGCGCCGCGAACUGACGGAAUAGUUCGUUGAAGUACCUACCUAUAAGACCCGCAGGCAAAUCCACGGGUUUUGGGGAAAUACGAUAGUACACGGAGGCUUCGGCCAAAGUGAUAGUGCGCCUAAGGGCUUCCAAGAAAAACCUCUAAACUUCAGGUAAUGAGUACCCGUACCGCAAACCGACACAGGUAGUCGAGGAGAGAAUCCUAAGGUGCUCGAGAGAUUCAUGGCUAAGGAAUUAGGCAAAAUAGACCCGUAACUUCGGGAGAAGGGUCGCCCUCAGUAAUGAGGGCCGCAGUGAAGAGGUCCAGGCGACUGUUUAUCAAAAACACAGGGCUCUGCAAAAUCGAAAGAUGACGUAUAGGGCCUGACACCUGCCCGGUGCUGGAAGGUUAAGAGGAGAUGUUAGCUUCGGCGAAGCAUUGAAUUGAAGCCCCAGUAAACGGCGGCCGUAACUAUAACGGUCCUAAGGUAGCGAAAUUCCUUGUCGGGUAAGUUCCGACCUGCACGAAUGGUGUAACGAUCUGGGCACUGUCUCAGCCAUGAGCUCGGUGAAAUUGUAGUAUCGGUGAAGAUGCCGAUUACCCGCAGCGGGACGAAAAGACCCCGUGAACCUUCACUACAACUUUGUAUUGACAUUGGACAAGAGAUGUGUAGGAUAGGUGGGAGACUUUGAAGCGUUGUCGCUAGGCAGCGUGGAGUCAUCCUUGAAAUACCACCCUUCGCUUGUUUGAUGCCUAACCCCGCAAGGGGGACAGUGCAUGGUGGGUAGUUUGACUGGGGUGGUCGCCUCCAAAAGAGUAACGGAGGCUUUCAAAGGUAUCCUCAGUACGCUUGGUAACCGUACGUAGAGUGCAAUGGCACAAGGAUGCUUGACUGUGAGACUAACAAGUCGAGCAGGUACGAAAGUAGGACAUAGUGAUCCGGUGGUUCCGCAUGGAAGGGCCAUCGCUCAAAGGAUAAAAGGUACUCCGGGGAUAACAGGCUGAUCUCCCCCAAGAGCUCACAUCGACGGGGGGGUUUGGCACCUCGAUGUCGGCUCGUCACAUCCUGGGGCU
rnacentral:rRNA from 1 species